ensembl:lncRNA
CUCAGUUCUGGGCCGUCAUGAUGAUCACCAGGGACACCAUCAAGAGACGACAGUGGAGGCGUCUACAGCAGCACGAACAACGUGAGAAAUCCAGGUCAAAGAGCAUUAAGCACAAAACACAGCAGGAAUCUACAGGCGGGAUGGAUGUGGGCCUGCUGGAGAUCCCGGCGGAGCUGUCUGCCCGGCUGCGCAGCUCGGUCGGCCGGACGCAGGGUACAAGGGUGACAGAGGUGGCGCCGCCGCAGGUCAAGGCAGAGCACAGACUCGCACUCCCUGCUGAUAUCAACAGUUUCCCCUUUUCACAAUACGCCAACACCACGUUAAAGGUAUGAAACCUAAAGAAUGACUGAGAGAAGGAUAAGAACAAAUGCUUAAGUCAAGUUUCCAGUAUCUUUAUUUGACUUUUUAUA